GCAUGGGUGGUUCAGUAGUAGAAUUCUUGCCUGCCAGGCAGGAGGCACGGGUUUUCCCGGGCCAUGCA
rnacentral:tRNA from 1 species